rnacentral:rRNA from 1 species
AGUGAACGCUGGCGGUAGGCCUAACACAUGCAAGUCGAACGGCAGCACAGUAAGAGCUUGCUCUUACGGGUGGCGAGUGGCGGACGGGUGAGGAAUACAUCGGAAUCUACUUUUUCGUGGGGGAUAACGUAGGGAAACUUACGCUAAUACUGCAUACGACCUACGGGUGAAAGCAGGGGACCUUCGGUCCUUGCGCGAUUGAAUGAGCCGAUGUCGGAUUAGCUAGUUGGCGGGGUAAAGGCCCACCAAGGCGACGAUCCGUAGCUGGGCUGAGAGGAUGAUCAGCCACACUGGAACUGAGACACGGUCCAGACUCCUACGGGAGGCAGCAGUGGGGAAUAUUGGACAAUGGGCGCAAGCCUGAUCCAGCCAUACCGCGUGGGUGAAGAAGGCCUUCGGGUUGUAAAGCCCUUUUGUUGGGAAAGAAAUCCAGCCGGCUAAUACCUGGUUGGGAUGACGGUACCCAAAGAAUAAGCACCGGCUAACUUCGUGCCAGCCGCCGCCGUAAAAC